UCAAAAUUGGUCAUUGCUCUCAUUAAAUCAAUUCCAAAGUAUCAUUAUCACUUGCGCAGAAAAUCAGAUAGCGCUGCUGCGCAUGUGAUAUUAGACUACGGAUCAUAUCAUAUGCAUAUAAACGAAAACAACGAUUUUGUGCAUGAGAUAUAUUAAAUCACUAAAUAUGAUAUACGAUUUAAGUAUACUAAUGGGAAACUUGCAUUGGGUAAUUUUGUACAGUAUAAUAAUAAAAAAUACGUGGUGUUUAGAAAUAUGGAUACAAUUUUGAUAGUUCUUUAAUGACAAUAGCAAAGAACAAUGUGUUAUUUUUCUUUUCGUUAACUAGAUAGUAGUGUCUUAUAAAUUUCAGUUCGAUGACCGGACUGUAGUAGAAAUUAGAGGUUUUAACUUCGUUUGAUAAUGAAUCAACAAGGGCUGAUAUUCAAAUAAAGUGCACGCUAUUUUAUAAUGAAGUUGAGACGAUAUUCUCCUUGAGUAAUACUUGUAGCAAUUGUAGCUGUGACACUUCUUGGAAAUAUCCAGAUAAAAGGAACAUAGAGUACGAAAUAGAUAUCGAAUGCGGUAAUAAUUCAACAGGAUGCAAUAACACUAAACUGUUGACUGACCAAGAUGGAGGAUUCGUGGAAAGGAAGCAUAAGAUUUCUAUGGGAAAGACAUUCACGGAUGAUGUGUCAGAAAAGCCACCCAAUAUAAAUAAAUAUUCUACUGAAGGGUACAAAAGAGCGGCAUUUCUGAGAAAUAAAUGUACAAAUAUUGAUAAAAGUCAAUUUCAUCGAACAGUUCGUGUAAGCUACGACGUGAAACAGAAAGCCCUGUAUUGCCCUUUAUGCAAAUAAGCUUCCACUUUCUGGACCUGUGUCUUUAAAAUGUUAGACAAUAACAAUUAAGGAAGAUUUACUACACAUCCAUUUGAAGUCCCUAUUUCACAAGCGCCAGCCAGUAAGCUGCAUUUUAAUAUACUUGACCAAAAGAUUGAAAAGACAGUAAAUGCUCAAAGUCCUUUAGAUUUUUAUUUGUUCGAAAUCCAUUCAGUCUGUUAUUUUCCGCAUUUGUGGACAAAAUUGUUGGACCAAACCCUUCAUUAUGGCAAUUAUUUUAAAGCACAGUCAGCGCACGUGCUGAAGGGACGGUAACAAAUACUUGUGGUGCACAUCUCACAUUUGAACAUUUUUUGAGAAAUAUUGUGCAUAUGUACAAACUAAAACAUACCCUUGACUGCCACGUAGCCAAAUUUGACGCCUGUCUGUCAUGUGCAGUAAACUACACAUUUGUUGCAAAAAUGGAGACAUUUAAAGCCGAUACUUUCCACAUUAAACAUAUAUUUAACCAAACGCAAACUUUGGAAGUACUUGAGCACGAAUUAAAUUCCUUACACGCGGACGACGCUAUUAAUGAUUCAACUUCCGGUCCAUUUUCAUGGAAGUGGGGCAUAAUAAGUUGUAUCACAUGGCCUGAAACAUUGAAGGGAAUAUGGAGGAAGCUUCAAAUAAGGGGAAUUAUUGGUGUAAAUGGUUUUCCGCUCACAGAUAAUGAGGCAAACACUAUAGCUAAAGAAGAGUUUAUUGCGUUUCUAGAAGAAACAAGAUUAAAAACGACUUCCGGUGAAAGAGGUUGGCUAAAAAACAGGCUUUUAAAGAAGCAUAUAGAAGUGUGCCUUUUGAUGUUUUAGACGAGAUUAGAACCAUUUAUUCAAAUGAAUUUUAAUUAUUUGAUUACAAUGAUUCACCAGGUGAAAUAUCUAACAGAGAUACAGAGAUUCAAAAUUAUAAAUUACAUGAUUACACAUUAAUAUUAAAGAAAAUAUAACUCUU
rnacentral:lncRNA from 1 species